UGUUCAAACGACUUACCUAUCGGAAGCUUAAUAUACGUCUAUGAUUUGUAGAGAGAGGAAGCCUGCAAUAUAACGUAGGUAAACUAUUGCGGUAAAAUUCCAGUCAUCGAGUCCUGAACGUCUACGAUUUCCGCAGCGAUAUUAGAUUAGUAGUUACAGUUGCCACAGACAGCAGUGAACAACGAUGCAGAGCAGUUCAGAUGACAGUGAGGUAUCCGCGGGGUCAGAUGGACGGCUACAUCGUCUGUUGGAACUCCUUCUAGCAACUGAUGGAAAUCGUGAGUGCUUCGACUGUCUUUCUCGAGGUCCGACUUGGACGUCGUGGUCGCUUGGGUUGUUUCUAUGCAUUCGCUGUGCGGGACUACAUCGGGGUCUUGGGGUUCACGUUUCGCGCGUUAAAUCAGUUGGACUCGAUCACUGGACACCUCAACAAGUAGCUCGUCUAGUUCAGAUAGGCAAUGAACGUGGCCGUACGAUUUACGAGUCGAAACUGCCUUCAAAUUUUCAUCGGCCGACUGACCUUAAUGAACUGCGAGCCUUCAUACAAAUCAAGAAUUUAAGAUAAAUAUACAAAGGACGAUAAAAACAGUUCUCAAUUGUCCACACAAAUGUUCGUCCACCCAGUACCUACAUCGAGUUUACGUGACACCCGGCUACCGAGAUCCACCUAUGCCGCCUUCCGAUUUGAGCAUUGAGCAGCUGGAAGCAAUCAUUGCAGAAUUCCUCAGGCAGUCAGCAAGAGCUAUCCGUGCCAUAGCACCAACGAAAGUUGCCGAAACGAGUCAGCAACGUCAUCAGAAGUUUUCAAGUGAUCUUGUCACGCUCGCAAACGACGAGAAGGUCCAGUCGCGAAACGGCGGAGCCGUAGAUCAAUAUGAAAGAAGGGUCAGGUUCCCGAUCAGCUCGACGAGCUCUACGCUGUUAAACGAAUCGACCCAAAGCGUCAUGAGUGAUCGACUGCUAAAGGAAAUACCUGGCACUGAUGAGGGUGAUCUGAUAGAAAACGAGACGCGUGUCGACGAAACGGCAGUUUUUCUGCCAAAUAUGGAUGAGGAUUGCGUGCUUAUUGAUCUCUAGGAAACACUAUCGCUUGUGGCACGAUCAUUCAUUUUGUUUUCAUUUUUUGAUUUUCUCACUUCUGUAAUAGAUUGUUUACUAGCUAUCACAAGCAACGAGAAAUUGCAGAAAGCCGAUUUCUGUUAGACUGAAGAAACUUAACGUGCACUGAACGUAACGGUGUACCUGAACAAAAGCAAAGAUAUACAUAAUAAUGGCUCCUGUAGGUUAUGCAGAAAAUAAUUUUAUAGCUAUGCCCAGUUUUCAUAGCUAACAAAGAUGCUCAUUUAUGUUUCAAAUAUGUCUUCUAGUGUCUUAUAUGCAGCUGCAUCGUUUACGGGUCAUC